rnacentral:antisense_RNA from 1 species
CUUCACCGAACCCAACCAGAGCGGCCGGUCGGCGGGACGGCCCUGCCCGUACGUGGCCAGCAGGGCGGUGGCCUC